UGAGGAACAUGACUUUCGGCGGGGGAUAGCCGGCCCAACGGCCGGGUAAUACCGCGUACGACCACAUGGGGACAUCCCUGAGUGGUGAAAGCAGCAAUGCGCCGAUGGAGUGCCUCGCGGCCUAUCAGCUAGUUGGUGAGGUAACGGCUCACCAAGGCGACGACGGGUAGCUGGUCUGAGAGGAUGGCCAGCCACAUUGGGACUGAGACACGGCCCAGACUNUA
rnacentral:rRNA from 1 species